GUGUCAGCCGCCGCGGUCAUACAGGGGGUGCAAGCGUUACUCGGAAUCGCUGGGCGUAAAGAGCAUGUAGGCUGGUUAAUAAGUUGGAAGUGAAAUCCUGUGGCUCAACCAUAGAACUGCUUCCAAAACUGCUGACCUAGAAUAUGGGAGAGGUAGGUGGAAUUUCUGGUGUAGGGGUAAAAUCCGUAGAGAUCAGAAGGAAUACCGAUUGCGAAGGCGAUCUACUGGAACAUUAUUGACGCUGAGAUGCGAAAGCGUGGGGAGCAAACAGGAUUAGAUACCCUGGUAGUCCACGCCCUAAACGAUGCACACUAGUUGUUGCUAUGCUAGACAUAGCAGUAAUGCAGUUAACACAGUAAGUGUGCCGCCUGGGGAGUACGGUCGCAAGAUUAAAACUUAAAUGAAUUGACGG
rnacentral:rRNA from 1 species